rnacentral:ncRNA from 1 species
AAUUUCUCUAUGUUGGGCACCGCCAUCUUGCACAUUAAUGUGAGCUGAUCUUUCCUAUGUUGAGGCCCCACACCCCAACGCGCAUUGCCUGUAGAAUUUCUUUUUUGAAAUUCUCUAUGUUGGGGCCCCACACCCCAACGCGCAUUGCUUGUAGAAUUUCUUGUCGAAAUUCUCUGUGUUGGGGCCCCUAUAAUUGAAAAGCGUAUUAUCAUUCAGUCAAUGAUUGCUAAUAUACCAGUAUAGAGAGUCUGGGAUAGGCUCAAU